ACACGUAGGGGGCGAGCGUUGUCCGGAAUUACUGGGCGUAAAGGGCGUGUAGGCGGCCGAGCAAGUCAAGUGUGAAAAGCCCCGGCUUAACCGAGGCAUUGCACAUGAAACUGUUUGGCUUGAGUGCAGGAGAGGGAAGUGGAAUUCCUAGUGUAGCGGUGAAAUGCGUAGAUAUUAGGAGGAACACCAGUGGCGAAGGCGACUUCCUGGACUGUAACUGACGCUGAGGCGCGAAAGCGUGGGUAGCAAACGGGAUUAGAUACCCUGGUAGUCCACGCCGUAAACGAUGGGUACUAGGUGUGGGUAGUUCACUCUAUCCGUGCCGCAGCAAACGCAAUAAGUACCCCGCCUGGGGAGUACGGCCGCAAGGUUGAA
rnacentral:rRNA from 1 species